UAAUUAUAUUUUAAAAUAAUUU
rnacentral:guide_RNA from 1 species